CGCGAAUCGCCCUUCGGGGUGCCCAGGCGCGAAAACUUUACAAUGCCGGCAACGGCGAUAAGGGAACCUCGAGUGCCAGGUUAUAAAUCUGGCUGUCGUGAUGCCUAAAAAGCAUUGCAUAGCAAGGGCCGGGCAAGACCGGUGCCAGCCGCCGCGGUAACACCGGCGGCUCGAGUGGUAACCGUUAUUAUAGGGUCUAAAGGGUCUGUAGCCGGCCGGAUAAGUCUCUUGGGAAAUCCAGCAGCUCAACUGUUGGGCUUCCAGGAGAUACUGUCUGGCUCGAGGCCGGGGGAGGUGAGAGGUACUUCAGGGGUAGGGGUGAAAUCUUGUAAUCCUUGAAGGACCACCAGUGGCGAAGGCGUCUCACCAGAACGGACCUGACGGCAAGGGACGAAAGCUAGGGGCACGAACCGGAUUAGAUACCCGGGUAGUCCUAGCCGUAAACGAUACUCGCUAGGUGUCGGCCACGGUGCGACCGUGGUCGGUGCCGUAGGGAAGCCGUGAAGCGAGCCACCUGGGAAGUACGGCCGCAAGGCUGAAACUUAAAGGAAUUGGCGGGGGAGCAC
rnacentral:rRNA from 1 species